UACGAAGGGGGCUAGCGUUGCUCGGAAUCACUGGGCGUAAAGGGCGCGUAGGCGGGGAGGUAAGUCGGGUGUGAAAUCCCUCGGCCCAACCGAGGAACUGCGCCCGAGACUGCUUCUCUUGAGUCCCGGAGAGGAAGAUGGAAUUCCCGGUGUAGCGGUGAAAUGUGUAGAGAUCGGGAGGAACACCGGUGGCGAAGGCGGUCUUCUGGACGGUGACUGACGCUGAGGCGCGAAAGCGUGGGGAGCAAACAGG
rnacentral:rRNA from 1 species